rnacentral:lncRNA from 1 species
ACACAUUGAUGAUCUAUGAAUGACACCAUUGAUGUAUCAAUCCUUCUGUUUCCAACUGCAACAUGUUUGAAUGGUGAUUGAUGAUGACCUCUCCUCUAUGCCGAUUGGAAUGUGACUUCACCGGUGGCUGUUCUUACAUAAGCAGCAGAAGCUUCAGGAGUGUCUUCCUCGCUCGGUGGAACCAGUUGCCAGAAGAGAGGUAGAUACUUUUCCCAUUCCUUCAGGAUCGUCUCUCCUUUGCUGCUUCCGGUUUUUUCCUUUUUACCAAAAAACAAAAAAGAGAGGUUUAUUCAUAUAUGAAGUCAUCAAAGUCAAAGUCACUCUUCCUAAGGACUUACCACAUGGGCUUCGAUUAAGCUCUUGAGCUGCAACUCCCCUGCAGGUGCAGUUACUCUCUGGAUCUUCACUAUCUCUCGGUUAAUCUGUUAAUAACAUAGUUUUGUUCAGACAAAUGUGGAAAGCAAGAAUGUAAACAAGAAAUGGAUACAAAGAAAGAAAGAAACCUUGGGAAGAAGAGUGUCGUCUUCAUCAAGAAGAUAAGCUAACCCUCCUGUCAUACCUGCAGCUACAUUUCUUCCCACUCUGUUUCAAUAUGAAAACAAUGUCAGUUUACAAAGUUUAUCUGCAAUCUCAUCAACCAGUUUUGAGUUAUUUACUCACUUUCCAAGCACUACGACACAGCCACCAGUCAUGUACUCACAGCAAUGGUCUCCAGUGCCUUCAACCACUGCUUCAGCGAGUGAGUUUCUAACAGCAAACCUCUCCCCAGCUUUGCCUCUAGCGAAUAUCUGACCCCCCGUUGCACCGUACAAGCAAGUGUUCCCAA